rnacentral:rRNA from 1 species
GACGAACCGAGCGAACGUUGUUCGGAAUCACUGGGCUUAAAGGGCGCGUAGGCGGGCUGUCAAGUCUGGGGUGAAAUCCCGCGGCUCAACCGUGGAACUGCCUCAGAUACUGACGGCCUCGAGGGAGGUAGGGGCGAGCGGAACUAAUGGUGGAGCGGUGAAAUGCGUUGAUAUCAUUAGGAACUCCGGUGGCGAAGGCGGCUCGCUGGACCUUUUCUGACGCUGAGGCGCGAAAGCCAGGGGAGCGAACGGG